AUUGCUCCUUAGUGGAAAUUGCCUUAGUGGUUCCUAGCAGACCAAAGGCUUCCAUAUGGAUGAGUUUUUCCUAAUGAACUUGAGACAAAGGGCCUUUCUUCUUUUGUGGAUGUGGUGUUCAUUGGGAUUCACCUGAUGCAAUACUCUGUCAUUAACUCAUCAAAGGGCUGACUCCUUGGAGCCUCAUCAACAGAAAGACAGGAGGAGACCAAAGCAUUGGAAGUUCUUUCUGCGUUGCAAAGCGGAAAAACAGUCCAAUGGAUUAUAUGACAUGGCAGAUCUUGAAAGUACAGCACACAGAGGAAGGAAGGAGUGUCAUAAAUACAAGGGUAUUUGGCUGUUAUUUUUAGAGUUGACUGACAGAUAACCACGUAGCAGUGAUGUGUGUGGGGAGGACUAGUGGAAUAAUGCUGGAGAUGGUUAUAGUCUGAUGUAACUCCUGUGUGAUGACAACUCCCUGGCUUGUAGUUGGUCUUUAUCCCUGACAUGCAAUGUUCUACACGUCAGCUUUCUUUUGUUUUCCAUGGCUUGUUUCUCUUUGCUUUCCACACCAAAAAACAAUGAACUAAUGAAAAUGAUCCUUUUA